rnacentral:rRNA from 1 species
UACGAAGGGGACUAGCGUUGUUCGGAAUUACUGGGCGUAAAGCGCACGUAGGCGGAUUUGUAAGUCAGAGGUGAAAGCCCGGAGCUUAACUCCGGAAUUGCCUUUGAGACUGCAUCGCUUGAAUCCGGGAGAGGUGAGUGGAAUUCCGAGUGUAGAGGUGAAAUUCGUAGAUAUUCGGAAGAACACCAGUGGCGAAGGCGGCUCACUGGACCGGUAUUGACGCUGAGGUGCGAAAGCGUGGGGAGCAAACAGG